AACCGGGUGUGCGUAGAUGAUUGCGAUUUUCAUCAAUGCUCCGUCGCCAACUUGAGAAUGCAGUCUAUGAGGAAGCGAAACUGUAGAAUUGCUGUUGCCGCGAACAAGUAUACCGAAUAUACCUAGCGUCAAUUAGGUACCUUGAAUCGCCCAGGUAUCCUCGAGGAAACCGCCAUGAAAAAGCAACUCGCAAAAUGCCACCUGCCCAAGCCGCUUGAUCCUUGAUCAGAUUGCCGACAAGUGG
rnacentral:misc_RNA from 1 species